rnacentral:tRNA from 1 species
GCGGAGGUCGCCCAGCUAGGUCAAAGGCGUAGGACUGAGGCUCCUAUCCCGAAGGGGUUCGUGGGUUCGAAUCCCACCCUCCGCACCA